rnacentral:misc_RNA from 1 species
GAUGAAGAACGUAGCGAAAUGCGAUACGUAAUGUGAAUUGCAGAAUUCAGUGAAUCAUCGAAUCUUUGAACGCACAUUGCGCCUGCCAGCACUCUGGCAGGCAUGCCUGUUCGAGCGUCAUUUCAACCAUCAAGCCCUAGGCUUGCGUUGGAGCCCUGCGGCUGCCGCAGGCCCCUAAAAGCAGUGGCGGGCUCGCUAUCACACCGAGUGCAGUAGAUUACUCUUCGCUCAGGGCGUGUGGCGGGUUCCAGCCGUGAAACCCCCCACUUCUCAAGGUUGACCUCGGAUCAGGUAGGAAUACCCGCUGAACUUAAGCAUAUCAAUAAGCGGAGGA